rnacentral:rRNA from 1 species
UACGAGAGGCCCAAACGUUAUUCGGAAUUACUGGGCUUAAAGAGUUCGUAGGCGGCGCAGAAAGUAGGGUGUGAAAGCCCUCGGCUUAACCGAGGAAUUGCGCUCUAAACUACUGUGCUUGAGGACCUAGAGGUGAGCAGAACUGAUGGUGGAGCGGUGAAAUGCGUUGAUAUCAUCAGGAAUACCGGAGGCGAAGGCGGCUCACUGGGGGUUUUCUGACGCUGAGGAACGAAAGCCAGGGGAGCGAACGGG